rnacentral:rRNA from 1 species
CCUACGGGAGGCAGCAGUGGGGGAUAUUGGACAAUGGGGGAAACCCUGAUCCAGCGAUGCCGCGUGAGGGAAGAAGGUUUUCGGAAUGUAAAACUCUGUGGAGGAGGACGCUAAUGGCGGUACGCCUUUCGUAAGCCACGGCUAACUACGGACAAGCAGGCGCGGGAAUACGUAGGUGGCGAGCGUUGUCCGGAGUUACUGGGGGUAAAGGGGGCGUAGGCGGUCUUGCAAGUCAGACGUGAAAACCACAGGCUCAACCUGUGGACUGCGUUUGAAACUGUGGGGCUUGAGUGAAGGAGAGGUAGGCGGAAUUCCCGGUGUAGCGGUGAAAUGCGUAGAGAUCGGGAGGAACACCAGUGGCGAAGGCGGCCUACUGGGCUUUAACUGACGCUGAGGCACGAAAGCAUGGGUAGCAAACAGGAUUAGAUACCCGAGUAGUC